CCUUUCUGUUAGGUCUCUCCGGGGUCGCCCUCCUGAAGCACUGUGGUUAUUGAUCCCGCUGAAAGAGCCGGAGCGCGGAGUCCGCACUUCCGUGGGGACGAAGGGAGUGGGGAGGAGAGUAGGCGAGGGGUUGGGGGAGGGAGUGGAUAAACUUUAGCGGAAGACAGGGGGCAAGGGCAGCACCCCCAGGCCGCCC
ensembl:misc_RNA